UAGGGAAUCUUCGGCAAUGGACGAAAGUCUGACCGAGCAACGCCGCGUGAGUGAAGAAGGUUUUCGGAUCGUAAAACUCUGUUGUUAGAGAAGAACAAGGACGUUAGUAACUGAACGUCCACUGACGGUAUCUAACCAGAAAGCCACGGCUAACUACGUGCCAGCAGCCGCGGUAAUACGUAGGUGGCAAGCGUUGUCCGGAUUUAUUGGGCGUAAAGCGAGCGCAGGCGGUUUCUUAAGGCUGAUGUGAAAGUCCCCGGCUCAACCGGGGAGGGUCAUUGGAAACUGGGAGACUUGAGUGCAGAAGAGGAGAGUGGAAUUCCAUGUGUAGCAGUGAAAUGCGUAGAUAUAUGGAGGAACACCAGUGGCGAAGGCGGCUCUCUGGUCUGUAACUGACGCUGAGGCGCGAAAGCGUGGGGAGCAAACAGG
rnacentral:rRNA from 1 species